UCUGGCUAAGUUGCCCUGGACAGGCUAGAGCUUGGAAGCCUCCUGCCUCAGCCUCCCGGAUUGCUGGGAUGACAGGCGUGCAACGCCCCAGCUGGCUUUAUUUUACUUAAAGUCAGUGAGUUGAUAACAGGAGUGACUCAGUCCCUGAGUGAUUUGGGGCCACGGAACAAAUCUUCAGGUGGACACCGUGUGCUAAAGAGCUUAGCUGAGAGAGAAGACACCUUAACCGCCUAUGUUUGCAUAGCAAAAACCAUUGUGUCUCUGCAUGGGGGAAGCUGGCUUAUAUUCCACCCAUCAAAGUCCCUUUUACUUUUGAGGAAGAAAAAAAAAAAUAAUAAUAAAGUGCUGAAUUGGCUGGAGAAGCUGCUAUCCCUCGGUACCUGUGGGGAAAUGAAUGUGAAAAUCCAGGGAUGCUGAAAACCUCUGGAUAAAAGGGUCUAUUUGCAUAAAGCAGUGAUUUGCAUACA